AUCCAGCUGGAGAGUCUGAAAUAGGACGAAACGCGCGUUAUGAAU
rnacentral:hammerhead_ribozyme from 1 species